UACAGAGGUCUCAACCGUUGUUCGGAUUCAUUGGGCGUAAAGGGUGCGUAGGCGGUCGCGCAAGUCGGAUGUGAAAUCUCAGGGCUCAACCCUGAAACUGCAUUCGAUACUGCGUGGCUAGAGUGCUGGAGGGGAGGCUGGAAUUUACGGUGUAGCAGUGAAAUGCGUAGAUAUCGUAAGGAAGACCAGUGGCGAAGGCGAGUCUCUGGACAGCAACUGACGCUGAGGCACGAAGGCCAGGGGGAGCAAACGGG
rnacentral:rRNA from 1 species